rnacentral:tRNA from 1 species
UUGGCGCAGUAGGCAGCGCGUCAGUCUCAUAAUCUGAAGGUCGUGAGUUCAACCCUCACA